AGUGAACGCUGGCGGUAGGCCUAACACAUGCAAGUCGAACGGCAGCACAGUAAGAGCUUGCUCUUACGGGUGGCGAGUGGCGGACGGGUGAGGAAUACAUCGGAAUCUACUUUUUCGUGGGGGAUAACGUAGGGAAACUUACGCUAAUACCGCAUACGACCUACGGGUGAAAGCAGGGGAUCUUCGGACCUUGCGCGAUUGAAUGAGCCGAUGUCGGAUUAGCUAGUUGGCGGGGUAAAGGCCCACCAAGGCGACGAUCCGUAGCUGGUCUGAGAGGAUGAGGAGCCACACUGGCACUGGGACACGGUCCCGGCUCCGACGGGAGGCAGCAGUGGGGAAUGUUGGACAAUGGGCGCAAGCCUGAUCCAGCCAUACCGCGUGGGUGUAGAAGGCCUUCGGGUUGUAGAGCUCUUUUGUUGGGAAAGAAAAGCAGCAGGUUAAUACCCCGCUGUUCUGACGGUACCCAAAGAAUAAGCACCGGCUAACUUCGUG
rnacentral:rRNA from 1 species